rnacentral:rRNA from 1 species
AGCGAACGCUGGCGGCAGGCCUAACACAUGCAAGUCGAACGAACCUUUCGGGGUUAGUGGCGGACGGGUGAGUAACACGUGGGAACGUGCCUUUAGGUUCGGAAUAACUCAGGGAAACUUGUGCUAAUACCGAAUGUGCCCUUCGGGGGAAAGAUUUAUCGCCUUUAGAGCGGCCCGCGUCUGAUUAGCUAGUUGGUUGAGGUAAUGGCUCACCAAGGCGACGAUCAGUAGCUGGUCUGAGAGGCUGAUCAGCCACAUUGGGACUGAGACACGGCCCAAAAUCCUACGGGAGGCAGCAGUGGGGAAUCUUGCGCAAUGGGCGAAAGCCUGACGCAGCCAUGCCGCGUGAAUGAUGAAGGUCUUAGGAUUGUAAAAUUCUUUCACCGGGGACGAUAAUGACGUUACCCGGAGAAGAAGCCCCGGCUAACUUCGUG